GUGGGGCUCCAGGCUGUGCACUACACCGGGUAGAAGCGCCGCAGGAGCUCCUUCUUGUUGACUUUCCCCAUCUGGUUGCGUGGGAUCUCCUCCACCACGAUCAGCUCGGUGGGGAUGGCGUAGGGGGCCAUGGUGUCCCUGGCCCACUCCUUCAGCUCCUUCACCGACAGCAUCUCCCCCCUGCGCAGCUGCACCACGGCGCUGACCCGCUGCCCCCACACCACGUCCGGGGGUCCGAUGACGGCCACGUCUGUGAUGUGUGGGUGUGCGAGCAGCUGACGCUCCACCUCCAGAGCGCUGAUCUUGAAGCCCCCAUUCUUGAUGAUGUCCACCGAGGUGCGGCCCUUGAUCCAGUAAACACCAUCGUGGUAGGCUGCUGUGUCCCCUGCAAAACACAGCGGGAUCCCUGAGAGCCCC
rnacentral:lncRNA from 1 species